UUUUCUACACAAAUGGCAUUCUGUACCCUGAUAGCGUGGUUGGAACUGAUUCCCAUACAAAUAUGAUUGCUGGCUUAGGAGUUGUUGGCUGGGGAGUUGGAGGAAUUGAAUCUGAGGCUACAAUGCUUCGCUAGGUGCAAAAGAAAAUGCAACUUCUGCUUCUUCAAAACCUGCUGCUGGUGCUGGUGAUAGUAACUGCAAUGUAUCUCCCCCCCC